GCUCAGGAUGAACGCUAGCGGCAGGCCUAACACAUGCAAGUCGAGGGGCAGCGAGAAUUAGUUUACUAAUUUGUCGGCGACCGGCGCACGGGUGCGUAACGCGUAUGCAAUCUACCUUUUACUGGGGGAUAGCCCAGAGAAAUUUGGAUUAAUACCUCAUAGAAUCUUAAUAUGGCAUCAUAUAUAGAUUAAAGUUUCGGCGGUAAAAGAUGGGCAUGCGUCCUAUUAGCUAGAUGGUAAGGUAACGGCUUACCAUGGCUACGAUAGGUAGGGGGCCUGAGAGGAUAGUCCCCCACACUGGUACUGAGACACGGACCAGACUCCUACGGGAGGCAGCAGUGAGGAAUAUUGGUCAAUGGACGCAAGUCUGAACCAGCCAUGCCGCGUGCAGGAAGAAUGCCCUAUGGGUUGUAAACUGCUUUUAUUUAGGAAGAAACCCCCGAACGUGUUCGGGGCUGACAGACCAAA
rnacentral:rRNA from 1 species